ensembl:lncRNA
CAACUUGAGAUCUUCCCAUCUUCCAUAAUCAUUGUCAUCUACCUUUUCACUUAAAAUGAGAGAUUCAUUGAGCUCCGGUUGAAAAGGCAGGCAUAGAUUUCCCAGGCAGACAUCUGAAUGCGACUCAUGACUCCUAUAUCCCAGCACAGUGACCUCGGGCAAAUUACCUAACCACUCUGAGUCCUGAGUUCCGCAUCGAUAAAGUCAGAAUAAUAGAGAGUGCUUAACUCAUCAGAUUAUUUUGGGUUCUAAGUGAGAUCAUGUAGCUAGGGUUUCUGGUGCUAUACUAGUAUAUGAUAGGUGUCCAGUGCAUCCUAGAUUGACAUUAAAACUUGAGAUGUGCAUAAAAGUUGGAGGAAAAUUACUUAUGGAGACCAAGUUUCAGAAAUAUCUGUGCUGAGGCAUAGGACAGGGAGUUCCUGACCCUGUAAGAUAAACUUAUUUGAAUUUUUUCAAAUAAGUGAAAGAAAGUAAUGCUCUCCUCUCUGAAGGAGAGGUGUUGGCACCUGACGAGAGCAGUCUCUGGCACCUGCUGGCACAGAGGUGAAUCCACCUGCUAGGACCACCCUACUGCCUCCUGUUUCCUGAUCAUGUUGCUGAAGGAAGCAGAGCACCCCAAGGUAAACCACAGCUAGUUGGUGAGGGCCACGUCUGGAGUGUCCACUGUGUUCAGAGUCCUUCAACCAAGAAAAAGGAUAAAAAGCAAGGGCAGAGCAUGGUUUUCCUCAUUGGCAUCUGAACCCUGAGUCUCUGCAUCUGAGCGCCUCUCCAUUCUUUACGGCAGAACCGCUGCUGACUCUCUGCUUCCCCAUCCCUGGGGAGGCAGCACUGGAUGAGGGGGGUUGGGGUGAUGGGAAACAGUUCCCACAGGACAGGGCCCGAAGUGGAAGAGGUCGGCAGAAGCCCACAGGGCCCACAUGGGAACAGCAGGCGCCCUGGCAGCGUGGCUAUCCCGUGUCCUGUUCCAGCUAAGCCCACGUGAGGCCAGACGAGCCCAGAUGGGCACCAUUCUUCACCAACACAUUUCUCUCUUCCUGAGCCUGGAUGGGUCUCGGCAUGUGAGCUAAAGCUGAAAUUUCUGUCCACUACCCCCUGCCUAGAGACUUCUUCAAAAUAAAUAUUGUGUUUUAGGGUCAUGUUAGGAUGCGUAUUGGCGACUAAACAACAGCAGGAUGCAUACAAUUUAAAUGUCAGUAUAUAAGUACCAUUCUUUCCCUUUUAAUUUUCCCACUCAAGUGUGGGGAGACUACCUUCUUAAAACCAACAAAAGAAAUUCGUAGCAAAUAAAGCAAGUCCUUUGUUGUAUUAUUCAUCUCUGUCUAAAUUUUGCAUCUUAUUGGGUGUUAGUGAUGUGGUGAUCAUAGAUGUCUUUAAAGCAGUGAGGCUAACAUAUUGAAGGAUAAAUGGAUGUUCUUUCUCUUGACUUUCAUUAUACAUGAAAGGGUUCCAAAGGCCUAUGUCUCUUUAUUGUUUAUCAGUAGUAUUCCAGAAGAGAAGAUGAAUGUCAUUUGCUUCACAUUUAAAGAUAUUAAAUAAGAUUGUUUAUUUAAAAUGUUA